AUGUCGAAGCUCUGAGAUGCACAUUAGCAGUUAGUUGAUGCCGAAUGUCGUACGUGUAUUGUGCAUAUCGUCAGUAUUAGCUUACUUGCUUCGGGUGCAAUUUUCGAAUGCCAUUUUCAUGUCCCUUGGCAAUUUAACUGUUUCUUGUGAGAAGUGAAAACAAGCAUGGCAAUAUCAUUAGUCCUUCGGGACACGGUGACUCGGAGUGUGGGCGUUGAUGGCAGCUUGAUAGAUUAGCAACAGAAACCCUGACCAGUUGAAAACUGUUCAACUUAUCCGAUACAAAAAGACGUUUUCAUAUCGAGUUGAAGUGCCAGCGGCAAAUUGCUCCAGCCAGAUGGAAGACAAUGUGACGGAAGCAGAGAAUACAUUGAAUGUGCACCACAAGAUUUAACCAGCGCACAUAUCCAAGCAAACGAGUCAGUUUUUGAUUGGAGUUUUCGGCUUAACCUGCUUACUUAAACACGUUCGUAUCCAGCAUCGCGCCCAAACACUGGACAAUGUUAUUCGACAUCAGAGUGUCCACUUUUUCCUCAAGAUGCCGCUUAGGAUCCUGUUUGCCAACGUUCUUAAUGGCUAACUGCUCCGGCGUCAUCUUUUCUUCGUCCUCCAAAGCCUAGAAUAUUGUGAUCGACUUAAUA